rnacentral:rRNA from 1 species
AGUGAACGCUGGCGGCAGGCCUAACACAUGCAAGUCGAGCGGCAGCGGGUCCUUCGGGCUGCCGGCGAGCGGCGGACGGGUGAGGAAUGCAUCGGAAUCUGCCCUGUCGUGGGGGAUAACCUAGGGAAACUUAGGCUAAUACCGCAUACGACCCACGGGUGAAAGCGGGGGAUCGCAAGACCUCGCGCGAUAGGAUGAGCCGAUGUCCGAUUAGCUAGUUGGCGGGGUAAAGGCCCACCAAGGCGACGAUCGGUAGCUGGUCUGAGAGGAUGAUCAGCCACACUGGGACUGAGACACGGCCCAGACUCCUACGGGAGGCAGCAGUGGGGGAUAUUGGACAAUGGGCGCAAGCCUGAUCCAGCCAUGCCGCGUGGGUGAAGAAGGCCUUCGGGUUGUAAAGCCCUUUUGUCCGGGAAGAAAUCGUCUGGGCUAAUACCCCGGGCGGAUGACGGUACCGGAAGAAUAAGCACCGGCUAACUUCGUG